AUUGAACGCUGGCGGCAUGCCUUACACAUGCAAGUCGAACGAGUGGCGCACGGGUGAGUAAUACAUCGGAACGUGUCCUCUCGUGGGGGAUAACUGUUCGAAAGAUCAGCUCAUACCGCAUACGAUUGGAGCGGCCGAUGCGCGAUUUGCUAGUGGGGGGGGUAAAGGCUCACCAAGGCGACGAUCGGUAGCUGGUCUGAGAGGACGACCAGCCACACUGGGACUGAGACACGGCCCAGACUCCUACGGGAGGCAGCAGUGGGGAAUAUUGGACAAUGGGGGCAAGCCUGAUCCAGCCAUGCCGCGUGUAGGAAGAAGGUCUUCGGAUUGUAAACUGCUUUUGGCAGGGAAGCGGUACCUGAAGAAUAAGCACCGGCUAACUACGUGCCAGCAGCCGCGGUAAUAC
rnacentral:rRNA from 1 species